rnacentral:rRNA from 1 species
UAGGGAAUCUUCCGCAAUGGGCGAAAGCCUGACGGAGCAACGCCGCGUGAGUGAUGAAGGUAUUCGGAUCGUAAAACUCUGUUAUUAGGGAAGAACAAAUGUGUAAGUAACUAUGCACGUCUUGACGGUACCUAAUCAGAAAGCCACGGCUAACUACGUGCCAGCAGCCGCGGUAAUACGUAGGUGGCAAGCGUUAUCCGGAAUUAUUGGGCGUAAAGCGCGCGUAGGCGGUUUUUUAAGUCUGAUGUGAAAGCCCACGGCUCAACCGUGGAAGGUCAUUGGAAACUGGAAAACUUGAGUGCAGAAGAGGAAAGUGGAAUUCCAUGUGUAGCGGUGAAAUGCGCAGAGAUAUGGAGGAACACCAGUAGCGAAGGCGACUUUCUGGUCUGUAUCUGACGCUGAUGUGCGAAAGCGUGGGGAUCAAACAGG